rnacentral:rRNA from 1 species
GGAUAAGUUAGAAAGGGCGCACGGUGGAUGCCUUGGCACUAGGAGCCGACGAAGGACGCGACGAACAGCGAUAUGCUUCGGGGAGCUGUAAGUAAGCUUUGAUCCGGAGAUUUCCGAAUGGGGGAACCCACCAUCCGUAAUGGGAUGGUACUCCUACCUGAACACAUAGGGUAGGUAGAGGCAGACCCGGGGAACUGAAACAUCUAAGUACCCGGAGGAAGAGAAAGCAAUUGCGAUUUCCUGAGUAGCGGCGAGCGAAACGGAAUCAGCCCAAACCAAGAGGCUUGCCUCUUGGGGUUGUAGGACACUCUAUACGGAGUUACAAAGAAACGGAGUAGGUGAAUUGUCUGGAAAGACAAGCCGAAGAAGGUAACAGCCCUGUAGCUGAAACUUCGUUUCCUCCAGAGUGGAUCCUGAGUACGGCGGGACACGUGAAACCCCGUCGGAAUCCGGGAGGACCAUCUCCCAAGGCUAAAUACUCCCUAGUGACCGAUAGUGAACCAGUACCGUGAGGGAAAGGUGAAAAGCACCCCGGAAGGGGAGUGAAAGAGAUCCUGAAACCGUGUGCCUACAACUAGUCAGAGCCCGUUAAUGGGUGAUGGCGUGCCUUUUGUAGAAUGAACCGGCGAGUUACGGUAACGUGCAAGGUUAAGCUGAUAAGGCGGAGCCGCAGCGAAAGCGAGUCUGAAUAGGGCGAAUGAGUACGUUGCCGUAGACCCGAAACCGGGUGAUCUACCCAUGUCCAGGGUGAAGGUCGGGUAACACCGACUGGAGGCCCGAACCCACGCAUGUUGAAAAAUGCGGGGAUGAGGUGUGGGUAGGGGUGAAAUGCCAAUCGAACUCGGAAAUAGCUGGUUCUCCCCGAAAUAGCUUUAGGGCUAGCCUCGAGUGAUGAGUUUUGGAGGUAGAGCACUGAUUGGACGAGGGGUCCCCACAGGAUUACCGAAUUCAGUCAAACUCCGAAUGCCAAAAACUUUAACUCGGGAGUCAGACUGCGAGUGCUAAGAUCCGUAGUCAAGAGGGAAACAGCCCAGACCAUCAGCUAAGGUCCCAAAGUAUACGUUAAGUGGAAAAGGAUGUGGAGUUGCCCAGACAACCAGGAUGUUGGCUUAGAAGCAGCCAUCAUUGAAAGAGUGCGUAAUAGCUCACUGGUCGAGUGACUCUGCGCCGAAAAUGUACCGGGGCUAAACGUAUCACCGAAGCUAUGGCAAUUCCGUAAGGAAUUGGGUAGGGGAGCGUUCCAAGGACAGCGAAGCUAGAUCGUGAGGACUAGUGGAGUGCUUGGAAGUGAGAAUGCCGGUAUGAGUAGCGAAAAGAGGGGUGAGAAUCCCCUCCGUCGAAAGCCCAAGGUUUCCUGAGGAAGGCUCGUCCGCUCAGGGUUAGUCGGGGCCUAAGCCGAGGCCGAAAGGCGUAGGCGAUGGACAACAGGUUGAUAUUCCUGUACCACCCAGUAUUUGUUUGAACGAUGGGGGGACGCAGAAAGGUAGGGUGAGCGCGCCGCUGGCUGUGCGCGUCGAAGCAUGCAAGGCUGGAACAUAGGCAAAUCCGUGUUCCGUUCGGCUGAGCUGUGACCGUGAAGGACCUUCGGGUCCGAAAUCCCUGAUCCUCCGCUGCCAAGAAAAGCCUCUAGUUAGAAUACAGGUGCCCGUACCGCAAACCGACACAGGUAGGCGAGAAGAGAAUUCUAAGACGCUCGGGAGAACUCUCGUUAAGGAACUCGGCAAAAUGACCCCGUAACUUCGGGAGAAGGGGUGCUCUAUUAAGGUGAAUAGCCUGAGAGAGCCGCAGUGAAUAGAUCCAAGCGACUGUUUAGCAAAAACACAGGUCUCUGCGAAGCCGCAAGGCGAAGUAUAGGGGCUGACACCUGCCCGGUGCUGGAAGGUUAAGAGGAGGGGUUAUCC